rnacentral:rRNA from 1 species
CCUACGGGUGGCAGCAGUGAGGAAUAUUGGUCAAUGGACGCAAGUCUGAACCAGCCAAGCAGCGUGCAGGAUGACGGCUCUAUGGGUUGUAAACUGCUUUUGUACGAGGAUAAACGCAGAUACGCGUAUCUUUCUGCAAGUAUCGUACGAAUAAGGAUCGGCUAACUCCGUGCCAGCGGCCGCGGUAAUACGGAGGGUUCAGGCGUUAUCCGGGUUUAUUGGGUUUAAAGGGGGCGUAGGCGGUUCGUUAAGUUAGAGGUGAAAUCCCGCGGCUCAACUCCGGAACUGCUGCUGAUACUGUCGGGCUAGAGGGUAGUUGCGGUAGGCGGAAUGCAUGGUGUAGCGGUGAAAUGCAUAGAGAUCAUACAGAACACCGAUUGCGAAGGCAGCUUACCAAAGUGCGACUGACGUUGAGGCACGAAAGUGUGGGGAGCAAACAGGAUUAGAUACCCUUGUAGUC